AAUGUCAACAAAGUUUGAAUUGAAGAAAAAACCAGCUCACCGCCAGCUUUGUCGCAGUUGUAAAAAAAACUGUAACCGAUCUCAAAAUCUUGUGAUUUGCAUCAAAAUGGAUAUUCAAGAUGAGCCUGAAAUUCUGAAGAGGUGUUACAAGUGUGAUCAUCAGUUAUUUGACAGCAUAAACAUAGUUUACAAUGCAUCUAAUUCCAUGAUCGUUAUUUGGAAUAAAUACCAAAUAUUCGUUUACGAAGACCUCAACUUUGAGAGCACUGCUAAGGUGUUCAUGCCCGAGUUUCAAAUCCAGCAGCUGAUACUAUCAAACAAUUAUUUAAUAUGUUUAGACAAAAGUGGAAAUAUUCACACAACAUCUAUGAAAUUCAAGAAUCCUGCACAAAAACGGUUCAAAAGCAGCUUCCAGCCGAAAGAGCAAGGUAUUAUGAUUUGUAUUCAAAUCCAGGAUGAUCAUUCAUCAAGUAUCUUGAGUGUCAAAUGUGAAAAUGACCUGUACUCUUUGUGCCUUAACAAAAUUAACUCCGAGUUUACUUUAGAGAAGAAGAUUGCGUUGCUACACUCUGGCCGGUGGCCAUUACCGACUGCCAUACAGGAUAAGUGCAUUAUAGCAAUACACAAAUUAUCAGAAACUGAAUUUGAUUAUGUGAAAAAAAUAUUUGAUGUCAACAGUAAUUAUAUCGUUAAUGACUAUAGCUUAAUUAUCAUGUCUUUUGAUAAGUUGUCAGUUUACGGCUGCUUAUUUAGCCCCAAAAUGCCUGACGAAGCUGUCAACUUGGUGAAAUUGUACACAUGCCCAUCUGAAAUAUGUAACAUAGAAAUAACUGAAAUAAACAAUCUUUUUAUAUUGAUUGGGCUCAACAUUGGCACAUUAGUGCGACUGAAUUUAAGAAAUGUUUCAAACAAGCCAGAAUUGGUGCAUUUAAACUCGGCCCUGUAUAAAUUUCUUACUCUGAAAGACACAGUCUUGUACACAGAUGCUAAAUCUAUGUGGAAAACAGACAACACAUUUACAGAAAAUAUAUCAUUCUUCCAAUUCUUUGUCAAAGAUGUUAAGGAUUUCAUAAAAUUCGGUGACCAAAUAAUUUGCACCACAUUCACGAACUUAAUAUACAUCUUUCCUAUUGACGACGAGUCCUCUUAUAUUAAGCCAAUCACAACCGACGAGUAUUGUGCAGCUGAGAAGUUAUUGAACAACUCCGAGUAUUUAUAUAAAAUUAUUGAGGAAUUAGAGAAAAACAAUACACUGACUAAAAAAAUAAAUGAGGAAGGCAACUUCGUGACUGCCUUUUCUUUAUCAAAUAGACAAGAUAUUAUGGAUAAUAUUAUUCACCACACCAUUACAGUGUAUGAAUACUAUCAGGAUGUGAUACAUGAGCAUCCUGGUCUGAUGGCAACAGAAGAACUGUAUAAGUACUCGCUUCCAGAUACAUUUUUCAUUCUGAUCAACCUGUCCACUACGACACUUCAGCACAUGUUCAACAACAUACUAUCGAAUGUAUUAAAUGACGUCAAAAUCCAUAUAUCUCUAUCAAUGGACGGUAAAUUACUGAAAACAACAAGCAUGAAAGUUACAGAUACAUUCAAAAAGUUGAAGGUUCUGAUGCCGGUAACUAUUCAAGAUGAGAACAUAUCAGAAAUGGAUGUGAAUAUGGAAUUGGUUACAAGUGUGCCUGGAGCUUUUGAAGAGAAGCAAAAACUGUGGGUCACGCUUUACAGGAGACGCGUAGUACUUACCUCAGAGCAUUUCAUACAAUCUGCUGUACCAAAUACGGAUUAUCCACCUAAAAGAGAGACGAACAUUGAGAAAUUAGCCUGGAAUUUCACUCAAGAUUACUAUCAAGAAAUGGUGAAAGUCACUAACCUUAUGAAGUUGGAUAGCGUACCCAAAUUCUCCAUAUACCUAAAACUGCCCAACAACUUUGCUGAAUUGUUGAAGAAAAAUGCUGACCAUCUGAGCUAUUUGACUAAAAUGAGAGCCGAACAAAUAGUACAGAAUUACUCAUCAGAAGAAUUCUUGAAAUCAAAUAGCCCUGUAACAUUUGAAGUAGGCAGCAAUAGCGUUGCUGUAGAAAUUGUGAGCGAUGAUUUUUCAAAGCCACUUUUGAAGUUCUCUUGUGGAAAUAUGACCGUAGCACACGAUAUAAGAAACUUAUUUUCAAAGAUUAUUUAUGAUGAUUUCAAAAACUCUGGGCCUGGUCAGGAGUUUGUGAAACACACACUGUAUUAUGAAGCUGAGAAAGUACUCAAGAAGAUCAAGAGCUGUAUACAGAACAAGCCACAUUUCAAGGAAUUUCAACCAGUUGCUGAUGAAUUUGAAAAAAAUAUUAUAGGUGCUCUUCCAAUUUAAUGAAUUUUUAUCACAAUUUAAUAGUUAUUUAGUAAGGAAAUGUGAUCUUAGUGUAAGAGAGAGAGGCUGUGAUCAAUAUAAUUUUUGUCAUAAUGUACCUCCUA